AGAGGAGCUUGCUCUUCUUGGAUGAGUUGCGAACUGGUGAGUAACGCGUAGGUAACCUGCCUUGUAGCGGGGGAUAACUAUUGGAAACGAUAGCUAAUACCGCAUAACAAUGGAUGACCCAUGUCAUUUAUUUGAAAGGGGCAAAUGCUCCACUACAAGAUGGACCUGCGUUGUAUUAGCUAGUAGGUGAGGUAACGGCUCACCUAGGCGACGAUACAUAGCCGACCUGAGAGGGUGAUCGGCCACACUGGGACUGAGACACGGCCCAGACUCCUACGGGAGGCAGCAGUAGGGAAUCUUCGGCAAUGGGGGCAACCCUGACCGAGCAACGCCGCGUGAGUGAAGAAGGUUUUCGGAUCGUAAAGCUCUGUUGUAAGUCAAGAACGAGUGUGAGAGUGGAAAGUUCACACUGUGACGGUAGCUUACCAGAAAGGGACGGCUAACUACGUGCCAGCAGCCGCGGUAAUACGUAGGUCCCGAGCGUUGUCCGGAUUUAUUGGGCGUAAAGCGAGCGCAGGCGGUUUGAUAAGUCUGAAGUUAAAGGCUGUGGCUCAACCAUAGUUCGCUUUGGAAACUGUCAAACUUGAGUGCAGAAGGGGAGAGUGGAAUUCCAUGUGUAGCGGUGAAAUGCGUAGAUAUAUGGAGGAACACCGGUGG
rnacentral:rRNA from 1 species